AGAAUAUAAUUUAUUAAUGAAACUUUUUUGGUUACACCAAACAUAGUUUUUAUUUUUAUUUUAUUGUAUUAAAUCUGGUAUUAAAUACUAAUGUAUUUCUUUGACUUGAAAAUUCAAAAAAAUAUGGGACGUAUCAUAUCUUAUUAACAUUCAUUGCAUAUCGCAUUUUAUAUAGUAAUCGCUUUCCGCAUCAAGUUUACCCACUGUCAUUAUGGCCGUGGCCCCUGACGAUUCAAAUGCGGCCGGAAACAAUAAAAACGCCGGUCGCACAAUGCGAACUGCAUAAAAACGGCUUAUUACGCUGUACACUAGACUAUGCUUUUUCUGUCUCUUUUCGGCUCGUUGUCGAGAUAUACCAAAGCAUCAACAACAAUUGAAAUAAAUGAAUUUGCCGAAAGGAUUUCAGGAAGUGCGCACAUAAAUUGGAAUAUUACAAUAUGACGGCGAAGGGCUAAAAGAAUAUCAAUUCUUACUGCUACAGCUAAAAAAUGUUAUAUAGAAUUUUAAGCACAAGUACGAAUAUGUACGCUCCCCAGAAGCAUGUUCGGGUCCAAAAUAAAACACAAUUUUUGUAUAUAAUCAUUGAAUCGGAUUAAUUUCGAAAUUCACAUAACAAAUUCGGGAAGAAGCCAAGCUCUGCAGAUUAACUUAAUUAACUUUUCGUAAAAGUUUAACAGAGAGGCCAAAAAAGUGGCACCUAUUUCAAACUCAAUUAAACACGGCAUGACCAAGCCAUGUCCCAGUCAAAUCGCCCUCCGUUUCCCCAAGCGCUUGAAGUGCUCCACGUGAAAGGGGUCCUUCUAGUUGAAACCUGUGUGAAAGGAUGCGCGUGUUUGCCUGUUUCCAACUGUGAAAACCUUUUGUCUGCCCUUAAGGAUUAAGCAAAUUCAAAUGGGUCAUUUAAUAUCAAAUGGAUUUCUAAACUUGAACAACGCUUUGUGUUCUUCCGGCGCUUUUGAGAUGGACUAGUAAAGGUCUUAGCUAUUUUUAGCUCUUUUGUUUUUUAAGGAGGCACAUCGUUUUGUAAUUCAAUGAACAUGUAUAACACAUAACAAUAUAAUUUAUUGUUUUGGACAUUUACAUAUGUAUAUAUCAUU